rnacentral:rRNA from 1 species
GAAUUUUGCGCAAUGGGGGCAACCCUGACGCAGCAACGCCGCGUGCGGGACGAAGGCCUUCGGGUUGUAAACCGCUUUCCGCGGGGACGAUUAUGACGGUCCCCGCAGAAGCAGCUCCGGCUAACUACGUGCCAGCAGCCGCGGUAAUACGUCGGGAGCGAGCGUUAUCCGGAUUCAUUGGGCGUAAAGCGCGCGGAGGCGGCCGCGCAAGCGGAACCUCUAAUCCCGGGGCUCAACCCCGCGGCCGGGUUCCGGACUGCGCGGCUCGAGUGCGGUAGGGGCAGGCGGAAUUCCAUGUGUAGCGGUGAAAUGCGCAGAUAUAUGGAAGAACACCGAUGGCGAAGGCAGCCUGCUGGGCCGUCACUGACGCUGAGGCGCGAAAGCCGGGGGAGCGAACA